rnacentral:rRNA from 1 species
GAAUUUUGGACAAUGGGCGCAAGCCUGAUCCAGCCAUGCCGCGUGUGGGAAGAAGGCCUUCGGGUUGUAAACCACUUUUGUCAGGGAAGAAACGGCUCUUACUAAUAUUAGGAGCUAAUGACGGUACCUGAAGAAUAAGCACCGGCUACCUACGUGCCAGCAGCCGCGGUAAUACGUAGGGUGCAAGCGUUAAUCGGAAUUACUGGGCGUAAAGCGUGCGCAGGCGGCUAUGCAAGACAGAUGUGAAAUCCCCGGGCUCAACCUGGGAACUGCAUUUGUGACUGCAUGGCUAGAGUACGGUAGAGGGGGAUGGAAUUCCGCGUGUAGCAGUGAAAUGCGUAGAUAUGCGGAGGAACACCGAUGGCGAAGGCAAUCCCCUGGACCUGUACUGACGCUCAUGCACGAAAGCGUGGGGAGCAAA